GCUUUCGCGGUGAAGUGGUCAGCACGCUUGGCGUGUAUUCGAGAGGUCCGUGGUUCGAGUCUCGGCGAAGGCA
rfam:Stegodyphus mimosarum contig110004, whole genome shotgun sequence.